UACGUAGGGUCCGAGCGUUGUCCGGAAUCAUUGGGCGUAAAGAGCGUGUAGGCGGCUUGGUAGGUCCCGUGUUAAAGCCUGCGGCUCAACCGCAGAAUCGCACGGGAAACCAUCUGGCUAGAGUCCGGAAGAGGAGAGCGGAAUUCCUGGUGUAGCGGUGAAAUGCGCAGAUAUCAGGAAGAACACCCGUGGCGAGGGCGGCUCUCUGGGACGGUACUGACGCUGAGACGCGAAAGCGUGGGGAGCGAACAGG
rnacentral:rRNA from 1 species